rnacentral:rRNA from 1 species
GACAGAGGAUGCAAGCGUUAUCCGGAAUGAUUGGGCGUAAAGCGUCUGUAGGUGGCUUUUCAAGUCCGCCGUCAAAUCCCAGGGCUCAACCCUGGACAGGCGGUGGAAACUACCAAGCUGGAGUACGGUAGGGGCAGAGGGAAUUUCCGGUGGAGCGGUGAAAUGCAUUGAGAUCGGAAAGAACACCAGCGGCGAAAGCACUCUGCUGGGCCGACACUGACACUGAGUGCGCGAAAGCCAGGGGAGCAAACGGG